AGCCUAACCCUCACGGCUUUACUGUGAGGUAUGGCAAAAAAACCUGUGAAGGAUACCAAACCCAUCGUUUGGGAGCUCCUUCACAGGUCAUAGCUCGAAAGAGCUAUGGGUGGCACAAGCCAUC
rnacentral:sRNA from 12 species